rnacentral:lncRNA from 10 species
GAUUAUUCUGCUGAAAGACUUCCAGACUUACUAAUUGUUCACAAUAAAAUAUAAAUAAACACAAUAAAAUAUUAAUUCCUCACAGUAAAAUAUUAAUUCCCACAGCAUAUCACCACAUUUUAUGCACUUCUGUGUACACCCCACAAGGCUCAGUCUUAGGCAUAGAACACAUAUUUUUCAAAUGUCUUCUGAUUUUGUUCACUUCCCUUAUAAAAAUGUGUGCAUAAAGUCCAUACUACAUCUUUGUAGAUAUUCAUAUUUGAAAGAGGGCAGUUAUAUUUAAGCUAAUGUUUACUUAAGAAUUAUGUGAGUAAGAGAGAAGGAAGUGAGUUUAGGCACAGCAUCUAACAGAUUUAUAAAAUCAAACCUUCUCUUACUAAAUCUUCUGCUUUGUGAACAUCUUUCUGCUUAAUUUGUUUUGUUUAGGAAAUUUUAAAAAGUCCAUAGUCACAUAAUCUACAUGCUCUCAGUUGGAGCCUAUGCUUCCUUAAUAUUUAUCUUUCUGAUGCUUUCCCUAUAUUGGAUAUUACAUCUGGAUAACAAUGCAAUGAAAAGUAGGAAGACUUCCCCAUUGAGGUUCACUUCAUCUGCAUUCCUAUGGUUGGUAUGACCUCAAUCAUUACAGGAAAAUGUAGGUUCCUGCUGUUUUCCUCACAUGACUCUAGAUCCCAACACCUUGGUUAUUGGAUAUGACAUUUAGUACUAUGAAACUUUUUUGGAGAAAACUCAAUUCUGUUUGAGAACUGAGCAAUUAUGUACCACCUUUCAUAUCCUCUUGCUGUUUCUUCCAGAUUUAACAAAAUAUGGCAGUUUUUCUUUCUAGUGUGUAGUCUCAUGUCAGGGCAUAUUUUCUUCCUAGUUUGUAGUGUAACGUUUGCAGAACUCAUUUUCUGAUUUUCACGUCUUUAAACUCUGAUUAAGUCAAGUUACUUGUUAUCACCAGUAAUUUGGAAAUAUCAAUUAUUUCACAGAUGAAUACAACAGAUUUGGC